GGGGAAUCUUGCGCAAUGGGCGGAAGCCUGACGCAGCGACGCCGCGUGGGGGAUGAAGGCCUUCGGGUCGUAAACCUCUUUCAGCAGGGACGAAGGUGACGUGUACCUGCAGAAGAAGCGCCGGCCAACUACGUGCCAGCAGCCGCGGUAAUACGUAGGGCGCGAGCGUUGUCCGGAGUUACUGGGCGUAAAGGGCUCGUAGGCGGCUUGUCGCGUCGGCUGUGAAAGCCCACGGCUCAACCGUGGAAUUGCAGUCGAUACGGGCAGGCUAGAGGGCGGCAGAGGGGAGUGGAAUUCCCGGUGUAGCGGUGAAAUGCGCAGAUAUCGGGAGGAACACCGGUGGCGAAGGCGGCUCCCUGGGCCGUCCCUGACGCUGAGGAGCGAAAGCGUGGGGAGCGAAC
rnacentral:rRNA from 1 species